rnacentral:rRNA from 1 species
UAGGGAAUAUUGCACAAUGAGCGAAAGCUUGAUGCAGCAACGCCGCGUGCGCGAUGACGGCCUUCGGGUUGUAAAGCGCUUUUCGGGGAGAUGAGGAAGGACAGUAUCCCCGGAAUAAGUCUCGGCUAACUACGUGCCAGCAGCCGCGGUAACACGUAGGAGGCAAGCGUUAUCCGAAUUCACUGGGCGUAAAGCGCGUGCAGGCGGUUCGGUAAGUUGGAUGUGAAAUCUCCCGGCUCAACUGGGAGGGGACGUUCAAUACUGUCGGACUUGAGGACGAUAGAGGGAGGUGGAAUUCCCGGUGUAGUGGUGAAAUGCGUAGAUAUCGGGAGGAACACCAGUGGCGAAAGCGGCCUCCUGGAUCGUUCCUGACGCUCAAACGCGAAAGCUAGGGGAGCGAACGG